rnacentral:rRNA from 1 species
GCUACGGGCGGCAGCAGUGAGGAAUAUUGGUCAAUGGGCGUAAGCCUGAACCAGCCAAGUCGCGUGAGGGAUGAAGGUUCUAUGGAUCGUAAACCUCUUUUAUAAGGGAAUAAAGUGUGGGACGUGUCCUAUUUUGUAUGUACCUUAUGAAUAAGGAUCGGCUAACUCCGUGCCAGCAGCCGCGGUAAUACGGAGGAUCCGAGCGUUAUCUGGAUUUAUUGGGUUUAAAGGGUGCGUAGGUGGCCUUUUAAGUCAGCGGUGAAAGUCUGUGGUUCAACCAUAGAAUUGCCUUUGAAACUGGGAGACUUGAGUAUGUUUGAGGCAGGCGGAAUGCGUGGUGUAGCGGUGAAAUGCUUAGAUAUCACGCAGAACCCCGAUUGCGAAGGCAGCCUACCAAGCCAUGACUGACGCUGAUGCACGAAAGCGUGGGGAUCAAACAGGAUUAGAUACCCCAGUAGUC